rnacentral:rRNA from 1 species
AUUGAACGCUGGCGGCAUGCCUUACACAUGCAAGUCGAACGGCAGCAUGAUCUAGCUUGCUAGAUUGAUGGCGAGUGGCGAACGGGUGAGUAAUACAUCGGAACGUGCCCUGUAGUGGGGGAUAACUAGUCGAAAGAUUAGCUAAUACCGCAUACGACCUGAGGGUGAAAGUGGGGGACCGCAAGGCCUAAUGCUAUAGGAGCGGCCGAUGUCUGAUUAGCUAGUUGGUGAGGUAAAGGCUCACCAAGGCGACGAUCAGUAGCUGGUCUGAGAGGACGAUCAGCCACACUGGGACUGAGACACGGCCCAGACUCCUACGAGAGGCAGCAGUGGGGAAUUUUGGACAAUGGGGGCAACCCUGAUCCAGCAAUGCCGCGUGUGUGAAGAAGGCCUUCGGGUUGUAAAGCACUUUUGUCCGGAAAGAAAUCGCACUUACUAAUAUUAGGUGUGGAUGACGGUACCGGAAGAAUAAGGACCGGCUAACUACGUGCCAGCCGCCGCAGUAAAAC